rnacentral:lncRNA from 1 species
AUGAUUCCCAACAGGGGCCCAUGACCCCGAAGUGCCUGGAUGGUUGUUGUUGUUGUUUCUCUGUGUAGCCCUGCGUGUUCUGGAACUCACUCUGUAGACCAGGCUGGCCUCAGACUCAGAGAUCUGCCUGCCUCUGCCUCCCGAGUGCUGGGAUUAAAGCUGUGUCCACCACGGCCUGGCCUGGCACUUGGAUGGUUUCUUUUUCUGUCCACACUAUGUAUCGUUAUGUCUUGGGGUUUGGAGCAGUAACAGAGAACCCCAUUUUCUCUCUUCUCUCCUGAGUGACUGCCCUAUGGUUUUAAUCAUUACUACUCUAUUUGUUCUCUGUUGGCAAAGCUCCAGUGUCACCCACACCUUGGCAUGUGAAAAUUGUUUUGAGGGUUUUUUUUGUUUUGUUUUGUUUUGUUUUGUUUUAGAACACUAACUUUUUGUAUAAACCAAAUUCUUGGCUUGUCAUAUGAAAUUGCACCUCAUAGGAAUGUUCCCUCUCUUAGAAAUAUAACUGGAGGCCGGGAGGCACGGUGCUGCACGCCUCUAAUCCCAGCACCGGGAAGGCAGAGGCAGGCAGAUCUCUGUGAGGUUGAGGUUACCUUGCCAGGGCCACAUUGUGAGCUCCUGACUGGAAGAAGAAAGAAGGAAGGAAGGAAUAAAACUGAGAAGCAGACUUGUAUUAGUUGAUGAAUGUUAAGCUGAGAGAGCAACUCAGUGCUCACUUGUUCUGAGGCUUUCCUGCCCACUGGCUGGUGAUAGAGACACAAUAGGGUUUGGGGACCUCAUAGGACCACAGGACAAGUGCCACAGCCUAAGGGAUUUUUACCUUUGGAGAUUAUGAUAAUAUAGAAGUGAGAGCAAAUGUUUCCCUCUGAUGCAGGAAGCCAGCCAGCACGCAAAGCCGCCUGUAUUACAUACAACCACCAUGCCAAAUCAGCCAUAUUACAUAGCGCCAUGACUUUGGCCCUGCCUCUUUUCUUCAGCUCACAGACAGAACAACCCUAGGAGGGGGUGUUCAAUAGCCAUGAGAGUCUUUUCUUGAAGCACUUCCCGGCUUCCAGCCAUGGUGUUCACCGUGACUGUUAGGGUAAGAAGUCUUGUCACCCACGUCCCAUGCGGCAGGCUUCCAGUCUGAUGAGAAGGGCCCUGUCCUCCCCCGGGUGAUCUCCUUAAGCCUGGCACAGCUGAGCCCCUGGCCUUUUGGAUGAUGGUCCUUGAAGCUGCUUUGAUGCCUCCUCCCUAGCAGAGCUGGCUAAUGACAUUACCUGAUAAGCUUUGGCCCUGACCCUGACUGGCCUGACUCAAGUUCGGGUUAUUAGGCACUUAGUAAAUUAAGAGACAGCUCUUUCUUUUUCUUUUAAUUUUAGUAUUUUUUUUAAUUUCUAGUUUAAUUUAAUCUUUUGAGGCAGGGUCUUACUAUUCAGUCCUGGCUGGCCUGGAACUCACUAUGUAGACCAGGCUGGUCUCAGACUCACAGAGAUCUACCUGCCUGCCUCGGUUUCCUAAGUGCUGGGAUUAAAGGUAUAUAUACUAAGAUUAAAGCCACCACAUCUGGCUACUAAGUAAUUUUUAAAAUAUAAUAAUCUAUUUAAAAUAUGUAUUUUAUAUCCUGUUGAACUACAGGUCAACUUGACCAAUUACUAUUUAAGAUGUAAGAUGUUGUCACCAAAGGUGAAGAAAGGCAGGCAGAAAGGGGUCCCCAUGAUGUUUUGCUCUGUUGACAGUGGACUGAAAGGAUAUUUGACUUCCUGGGAGUGUCUAUCCAUCUCCCCACGGUAGGAAUGGGUCUGGGGAUGAUGGUAGGGCUGGUCCCCAGGUAAAGACUCUCAAGCUGCAUGUUCACAACAGAAGGGGGCAGACACAGGAUGUGGCCAGAGGCUCAUUUGUCACACUGGGGCUCCGGGCAUUUUCCUCACGUGAUCUGACCAGUUUUAACAUUGAGUCGACAACACGUGGGAAUUCACAGUUGCUCAUUGUUCUCUGCAUAUCAGAUGGAUGAAAUCACACAUGCUUAUACUUGACACUCCUCCCUCUCUGCUCUGGGUGGGGUGGUGCCCAGGGUUCUGAGCCACACCCCAAGUUCCUCAGAGCCCUCACCUUCUCAGGAGCAUGCCUCUCCUGCCGUGUGAGGAGGCGUGGCAUGGGUGAGUGUUUGGGCUUGGGCUGCCAUGAGGUGCAGGUGUGAACGUUGGCAUCCCUCCCAAACCACCUGACCAGCGUGCAAGCCCUUGUUGGCCUUGUCAGUAAAAUGGAGGCGAUUCUUUGAGCACUGAAAGGAAAUCAUACAUAAGAUGCUGAGCAUGUGUGCUCCACAGGUCAUCAUCUCUCCAACUUUCUCCUGACAGUAUUUAGAGCAUUCUGGCUCCUUUAGAGAAAGUAAAGAAACAACUCAGAGCCUGGGUCGCCUAUGGAAGUAGUCUCAUGUCAUCCUUCCAAGCGUCUGUUGUCCCUUGGUGGUAAACCCCAGGCUUUGGGAGCAUCUGAGCUUCCACGUGCAUCCGUCACUGUCUGGGUACCAGAUUGCAGUCAGAGAAUAGUUCGUGCCACUGUUACCUACACACAGUCCAUGUGUAAACAAGCGAAUUAAAGGGCACUGGAGAUAAUGGAGUCU